AGUGAACGCUGGCGGUAGGCCUAACACAUGCAAGUCGAACGGCAGCACAGUAAGAGCUUGCUCUUACUGGUGGCGAGUGGCGGACGGGUGAGGAAUACAUCGGAAUCUACUUUUUCGUGGGGGAUAACGUAGGGAAACUUACGCUAAUACCGCAUACUACCUACGGGUGAAAGCAGGGGAUCUUCGGACCUUGCGCGAUUGAAUGAGCCGAUGUCGGAUUAGCUAGUUGGCGUGGUAAAGGCCCACCAAGGCGACGAUCCGUAGCUGGUCUGAGAGGAUGAUCAGCCACACUGGAACUGAGACACGGUCCAGACUCCUACGGGAGGCAGCAGUGGGGAAUAUUGGACAAUGGGCGCAAGCCUGAUCCAGCCAUACCGCGUGGGUGAAGAAGGCCUUCGGGUUGUAAAGCCCUUUUGUUGGGAAAGAAAAGCAGCAGGUGAAUACCCCGCUGUUCUGACGGUACCCAAAGAAUAAGCACCGGCUAACUUCGUG
rnacentral:rRNA from 1 species